GACGAACGCUGGCGGCGUGCCUAAUACAUGCAAGUUGAGCGAUGAAGCUUGGUGCUUGCACCAAUUUGAAGAGCAGCGAACGGGUGAGUAACGCGUGGGGAAUCUGCCUUUGAGCGGGGGACAACAUUUGGAAACGAAUGCUAAUACCGCAUAACAACUUUAAACAUAAGUUUUAAGUUUGAAAGAUGCAAUUGCAUCACUCAAAGAUGAUCCCGCGUUGUAUUAGCUAGUUGGUGAGGUAAAGGCUCACCAAGGCGAUGAUACAUAGCCGACCUGAGAGGGUGAUCGGCCACAUUGGGACUGAGACACGGCCCAAACUCCUACGGGAGGCAGCAGUAGGGAAUCUUCGGCAAUGGACGAAAGUCUGACCGAGCAACGCCGCGUGAGUGAAGAAGGUUUUCGGAUCGUAAAACUCUGUUGGUAGAGAAGAACGUUGGUGAGAGUGGAAAGCUCAUCAAGUGACGGUAACGACCCAGAAAGGGACGGCUAACUACGU
rnacentral:rRNA from 1 species